rnacentral:lncRNA from 1 species
UGAAACGAGGAGAAAAAUAGUAGCAGAGAUGAAUGAAUACCUAUUGUGAAUCGGGUCGGGGCCAUUCGGCACUUUCCUCUUGCUGUCCUGGUAUGGAUCAGCUGCAGACGUCGUCGUCGCAACCGGUGGCACCGUCGUCGUAGCUCCGGCGACAUCACCUCGCGGCCGCGUGACGACGUCCGGUCCAGGAGCAUUGUUACCCAUGCCGCCGGCAGCAGCCGGCCCGGGCCUAGCGCCGACCGCCGUUGACGCCGACGAGACCAGCACGACGCAGACGAGCAA